rnacentral:rRNA from 1 species
CAGCCGCCGCGGUAAUACGUAGGGUGCAAGCGUUGUCCGGAAUUAUUGGGCGUAAAGCGCACGUAGGCGGCUUUGUAAGUAAGAGGUGAAAGCCCGGAGCUCAACUCCGGAACUGCCUUUUAGACUGCAUCGCUUGAAUCCAGGAGAGGUGAGUGGAAUUCCGAGUGUAGAGGUGAAAUUCGUAGAUAUUCGGAAGAACACCAGUGGCGAAGGCGGCUCACUGGACUGGUAUUGACGCUGAGGUGCGAAAGCGUGGGGAGCAAACAGGAUUAGAUACCCGCGUAGUCCCUGUCUCUUAUAC